rnacentral:rRNA from 1 species
CGAAGGGUGCAAGCGUUAAUCGGAAUUACUGGGCGUAAAGCGCGCGUAGGUGGUUUGUUAAGUUGGAUGUGAAAGCCCCGGGCUCAACCUGGGAACUGCAUCCAAAACUGGCAAGCUAGAGUAUGGCAGAGGGUGGUGGAAUUUCCUGUGUAGCGGUGAAAUGCGUAGAUAUAGGAAGGAACACCAGUGGCGAAGGCGACCACCUGGGCUAAUACUGACACUGAGGUGCGAAAGCGUGGGGAGCAAACAGGAUU